CCUCAUCUGCUUCUCUGCCUCUGGUUUCGCAGGCUGUUUUUGAAAGAAAACAAGAGGGUGGGAAGGCUGACUUUCCCAAGAACUACAUGCGCCUCUGUUCUAAGAAACAGCCCGGACAAGGGGCUGCAGAAGACAAAACUUCUCUGCACAUUGCCGUGUGUGUAUAAGAAGGGAGGAAAAGGCUUCCUUUGUUGUGAGAUUUCUACACCUGUUGGCAUUCUGAUGUUCAGCCUUCGGUUGAAAAAUUGCUCAGUUUUCGGCUUCUCCUGCGUUGACUACAGAAAAAUCUGUGAAGCUUGAACAAGCGGCCUUCCCAAGAUGUACCGAAUAUCUCAACUGAUGUCAACACCAGUAGCAAGUAAAUGUCCUUCCAAGUCGGACGGACGAUUCGCUGGAGAGCUGUCUCCCAGGAGCCCUUUCCUUAGUUUUUCCUGUGAUUUCCUGGAUGGUGAGAGUUCCUUCAGAUGCUGCUCCACAGAUCCCCUGUCGGGCUCCCAGUAUAUCUGUCGGCGAAGUCCCCGGCUCCUCACCAAUGGCUACUAUAUUUGGACAGAAGACAGUUUCUGCUGUGACAAUGAUGGCCAUGUAACACUGAGCCCAUCCCGGACCAGUGUUGUGUACAAAGAGAACUUGGUUAGGAUAUUUAGAAAGAAAAGGAAGAUCCGCCAUUCCCUUUCAUCUCUCUUCGACCUGGGUGCCUCUGAAUCCUGGCUGCAUGAAAGUAUUUUUGACAGUGAUUCUUCCCCAAGGGAAGAAAAAUGGUUAGAAGGAAUCAGGAGUCUGGAGACAUACCAUUGCAAUCAAAAUGGAGAUGAUUUUGAUUUUUCCUCUCUGACUGAUUACUGGGAAUCAGAGAAGCUAAAUGCAGAGACUGCGAAAGGCUGUUCCUCCAGCCACACUGUUCCUCAGCCGCCAAGAGGAACUUCCCAGGAGGUGGAGCAUCAGUCCCAAUGGCCAGCUUCUGCACAUUCCCAAGACAGCCCAUUGGCUCAUUCAAAAUCCAGCUCACUGCGAGUGGUCUCCUUUCAGGCUAUCGUGUUUGCUGCAUGCUUAAUCAUUUCUGCCUGUGCAAGAUGCCUCGUGGGAGGGAUAUUAGCCAGUGUCUUUGCAGGCUCCGUGGCAAUCACCCUAACUUAUGUUAUCAAACCAUUGCUUCUCGGCCUUGCUGGCAGUUUCAGAGCUGCCACCUGCACUUGGUGAGUGCUGCCUGCGGGACCACUGUCUGCAUAAAGAUGGCAGACCCUGGAAUGUGUGCAGGGACUGUGCUCCAUAACAGAGCGCAGCGGUAGAGUGCAUGCAGGAAUGUGCUGAACGUCUGUCCUAAAGAGAAGUUUCUGUUCCCGCUUUCUCCCUCCCAGAUUAUUAUAUCCACACAAAUAGAUUUAAUCUUGAAGGCCAUAGGAAUAAGGGAAUGAUUGGGAAAGUGUAUCUAUUUCAAAGGCUUUAAUAGAAACUGGACCUUCUAUGAAAUACCCAUGUUAACGUACGUUUCUUUUUGAGUUUCCUAAAUGGCUGAGAAAACACCCAUGAAAUGAUCUCAGUUACAAACUGGUAUUUCUCUUCCCUCUCUUAUUCCCUUAAGGAGCCACCGUGUGCUGACCGAUGUGGCUCAGCAUAAUUCAAAGAACUACUGAGAUGAAAGACAAUUAGUCCUUGUUAGGAGCAGCUUCUCAAAGCUUGGAUUGGAACUAACCGCUCUGGAAUCGGCUGAAGAGCCUGUUUGGAGAGGGAGUGUGUCUGAAUCCCAACGCCAGUCCUCCAGAGUCAAAGCUUCUGCGGGACUUCACUGGAUAUCUUGUCACAUUAAACAUGGGAAUUUGGGAAAUACGAUUCCUAAACCUUUAUCUUUAUUUUCUAAACUGGCAUUGCUUAGCCUGCCAAAACUUGCAAAUGUGUUCUGCACUAUUUAAUAUUUCCAGUUCAGUUGAGCAGACACUGAUGCAUCCUCUAUCAUUAUGAGAUGCCAUUACCAGGUACCAAGGUCACAAUGCCAGGACACGUUGUUAGCCUCAAGAUCUCAAAGUCUGGUGAGUAAUAGACGUAUAACAGGCGAGGUGAAGUUGGAUUUUAAUUUGGUAAGUGUAGGUGGAGAGUUGAGCAUCAGCAGGAAGGUUUUCCCCAGACUAGGAGGGGUGGGAAUAUAGCCAGAAAGCUCCAUCUAUCACUGCCAAUAUCCUACCUGUUGGGGUUAUAGCAUCUGUUUCUUUUUCAUCCCCCUUCCUCAGUUUGGAACUCCUUGCUUGUUCUCUCGUAAAAGCGACUGCAUCAGGAUGUUAUUUCUACAGCCUGUUCAUGGAAUAAGAUCUCACCUUGGCUCAUUUAUGUAUCUGCUUGAACUUGCUCUUUUCUUGUUCUCACACUGGACAGAUUCUUUUUGUUUCCUGCACAGUCAGCCUCAUAUGCAAGCACUCUUCAAUUUAAGACUUGUGAGCACCAGGACUAUUGAGUUCUUUUCUGUAUCUAAUCCAAGACCUUGAAAAUAGUAUGUACUCCAUUAAUAUUGAUGGCAGUGAAUGCAUUUGCUGCAUCAUUCCUUGAAGUACUCCCUAUAUAGACUAGGCUCUGUGCCUAUAGGUUCAUAUUUUUGCAUAUCCUCUCUCUUAUACAACAUAUCCAGAAGGUAGCAUGCCAAGACAUGUGUAUUAAUAUCAAAUGCAGGCAUGUAUCCUAAAUCUUCCAUCAGUGAUGAGGAUCUGAGGUGGUGGAGUACAAGCCCUGAAUUUGGUUAAAGAAGCAUAACUACCAAAGUCCCCUCUCCCUCCAUAAUCCUGCACCAUGCAGGCACUUCAGACUUUUUACACCACAAUGUGAUCAUUCAGCUGCCUUCCUUGUUAAAUUUAAAACCUGUGAGUAUAUGGAGUUCCUAUUCACCAUUUCCCUUAGUGUCCUUUGCAAGUAAAGGUGACCACAAGCUUCCCGCAGGACAAAUAAUGAGUCAGCAUUUACAGUGUCCCUUCUGGGCAGUUACUCCUCCAUCGUAACAAGGUGCUGUCUGCCAGCUCUGCUGUCAGGUGUCUGCUGUCGUCGGCUGGCUCUGCUAGUUCAAAGACUGCGUUCAUAAAUGUGGCGAGUGAGUAAAUCUUAGAUAAUACAAUAUGGGGGAAGUCUGCGUGUUAAACACAUACAGUGCGAGACACAAGAGACCUAGCAUAGAGUGGAAGUUUUAACUAAGUACCAACCUAGGUUUGGGGACUGAAGCCUAUUUGGCCUUGCACAGCCAAAUGAGUGCACUAGGAACUACUGAGGCAAAACCCAAGAACUGCUCUAAGCUGAGAUUCCUAUUUCUAGUUGUGAUGACUUAAGCUAGUUGUGUGGAUGUGCGUGAACACCGUGAUUACACACUGCAUUUCCUGUGUGGGGAUGAAUUAUGCAUUUCUUUUCUCCUUUCUCUGAUCUAGGUUUCCCAAAAAUUGACAACUAACUUAGGAAUGCCUCUGAUGACUGUCUCCAAGCUGAGUAUCUGGAAACUGUCCGGCUUACAAGCAAUCUAUUUGGAAUCAAAGACUGUAUUGGAAGGGAAGGAGCAACUGGAUAAUUGAGAAGAAACAUUUUAAUUUGGCUGCAUGAUU